rnacentral:rRNA from 1 species
AAUCAACGCUGGCGGCGUGCCUAACACAUGCAAGUCGAACGCGAAAGCCCCGCAAGGGGUGAGUAGAGUGGCAAACGGGUGAGUAACACGUGGGUGAUCUGCCUCAGAGUGGGGGAUAACGACCCGAAAGGGUCGCUAAUACCGCAUAACAUCCUGCGCUUGGAUGCGUGGAGAUCAAAGUUGGGGAUUCGCAAGAACCUGACGCUUAGAGAGGAGCCCCGCGGCCGAUUAGCUAGUUGGUGAGGUAACGGCUCACCAAGGCGACGAUCGGUAUCCGGCCUGAGAGGGCGGACGGGACACACUGGGACUGAGACACGGCCCAGACUCCUACGGGAGGCAGCAGUGGGGAAUUGUUCGCAAUGGGCGCAAGCCUGACGACGCAACGCCGCGUGGAGGACGAAGAUUUUCGGAUCGUAAACUCC